rnacentral:antisense_RNA from 1 species
GUCUUUGCCACUUCUCACCAUGGCCACUAGAGAGCGACAGUGCUCCAUCUUCUAGAAAGAAACAGUCCAAUCCCUGCGCCUUCUGCCGAGGAGCCUGGAGAGCCACCUCCCUGAACUCCAGGACUUUCAGUUGCACUGCCUUAUGGACCUGAGGGUGAUCACCAACCCGCGGGGCCUCCGGGGGUUCUACUUUUGGCAGCAGCUCACUGACUGCAAUGUGCCCAGCAUUUCUAAUGAAGAGGAGGUUCUGUGAAGCGCACAGCAGGUUCUGGUCAAGAAGGCAGCCUUUGGGCACCCACCUCAACGGACCCAAGGCAGCAGAUGGCCAAGAGAGCCCAGUGGAUUCUGCCCCAAAUAUCUCAUUUCCCUCUCAGUGUCACCUCUGCUGGCAUCACAGCUGGGGCACAGUCCUCUCUGCUCUAUCCUCACAGCACCUCACACGUAUUAGGUACUCAGCAAAUGUUUCUGGAGUAUCUUUGUGUGCGUUAUGUGGUGCUGUUUUAUCAAACCCCUGAACAC